AGUGAACGCUGGCGGUAGGCCUAACACAUGCAAGUCGAACGGCAGCACAGGAGAGCUUGCUCUCUGGGUGGCGAGUGGCGGACGGGUGAGGAAUACAUCGGAAUCUACUCUGUCGUGGGGGAUAACGUAGGGAAACUUACGCUAAUACCGCAUACGACCUACGGGUGAAAGCAGGGGACCUUCGGGCCUUGCGCGAUUGAAUGAGCCGAUGUCGGAUUAGCUAGUGGGCGGGGUAAAGGCCCACCAAGGCGACGAUCCGUAGCUGGUCUGAAAGGAGGAUCAGCCACAUUGGCACUGAGACACGGUCCAGACUCCUACGGGAGGCAGCAGGGGGGGAUAUUGGACGCUGGGCGAGAGGCUGAUCCAGCCAGUCAGCGUGGGUGAAGAAGGACGUCGGGUUGUAAAGCCCUUUUGUUGGGACAGAAAUCCAGCUGGCUAAUACCCGGUUGGGAUGACGGUACGCACAGAAUAAGCACCGGCUAACUUCGUGCCAGCCGCCGCGGUAA
rnacentral:rRNA from 1 species